rnacentral:rRNA from 1 species
CCUACGGGAGGCAGCAGUGAGGAAUAUUGGUCAAUGGGAGAGAUCCUGAACCAGCCAAGCCGCGUGAGGGAAGACGGCCCUAUGGGUUGUAAACCUCUUUUGUCGGAGAACAAAACCCGGGACGUGUCCCGUACUGCGUGUAUCCGAAGACAAAGCAUCGGCUAACUCCGUGGCAGCAGCCGCGGUAAUACGGAGGAUGCGAGCGUUAUCCGGAUUGAUUGGGUUUAAAGGGUGCGUAGGCGGUCCGUUAAGUCAGCGGUAAAAUUGCGGGGCUCAACCCCGUCGAGCCGUUGAAACUGGCAGACUUGAGUUGGCGAGAAGUACGCGGAAUGCGCGGUGUAGCGGUGAAAUGCAUAGAUAUCGCGCAGAACUCCGAUUGCGAAGGCAGCGUACCGGCGCCAGACUGACGCUGAGGCACGAAAGCGUGGGGAUCGAACAGGAUUAGAUACCCGAGUAGUC